rnacentral:misc_RNA from 1 species
AAAUAAAUAAAUAAAUAAAUACAAGAAAGAAAGAAAAUAACACAAUAAAGCCGUGCAAUCUGACUGGCACAACCAAAGCCCCACAAACACAGAAAAACCCAGUCUGUUAAGAACCGUAGCAUUUUUUUUCCAAACCAAUAUGACAAAUCAUGACAAGUAUACCCAACCAAAGUCUUUAAUCUCCUUUUUCAAAUCAUGACAGUGUAGAAAUUCAAGACUAGAAUGGGAUCAAAAUUCAAAAAAGCAACGGCAGCCAAGACUAAAACAAGGUAAAAAAUUCCCAAAAAUAAAAAGAGUGAGAG